UACAGGGGGUGCGAGCGUUAAUCGGAAUUACUGGGCGUAAAGCGCGCGUAGGCGGCUUUUCAAGUCGAUUGUGAAAUCCCCGGGCUUAACCUGGGAACUGCAGUCGAGACUGUCUAGCUAGAGUAUGGGAGAGGGAAGUGGAAUUCCAGGUGUAGCGGUGAAAUGCGUAGAUAUCUGGAGGAAUACCGGUGGCGAAGGCGGCAUCCUGGACCGGCAUUGACGCUGAGUGAGCGAAAGCCAGGGGAGCAAACGGG
rnacentral:rRNA from 1 species